ACGGCUGUUUACAAUCAAACUGAUGCAGUAGCCUUGUCAUGGCAAGAUUUCGGGAAAGAUAUUUAUCCUGUUUGAAAACUUAAGGCAAAUUUUGGUCUAAGUGUCCUUAAUAGUUAGUGUACAUGAUGUUUCAUGAUUAUUUAAUUCCUAUUUAGAAUUAUUUUAGAGCUUUUUCUAGUUUGGGAUUCCUAAAUCCAAAUGAGAGGAAUGCCAAAAUGAG
rnacentral:misc_RNA from 1 species